rnacentral:tRNA from 1 species
GUGGGUAUAGCUCAGUGGUAGAGUGCAUGCUUAGCAUGCAUGAGGUCCUGGGUUCAAUCCCCAUUAACUCCA